rnacentral:rRNA from 1 species
CUCAGGAUGAACGCUGGCGGUCUGCUUAACACAUGCAAGUCGAACGGGCUCUUCGGAGCUAGUGGCGGACGGGUGAGUAACGCGUGAGGAUCUGCCUUCAGGAGGGGGAUAACGACUGGAAACGGUCGCUAAUACCGCAUAUGCCUACGGGUGAAAGAUUUAUCGCCUGGAGAUGAACUCGCGUCAGAUUAGCUAGUUGGUGGGGUAAGAGCCUACCAAGGCGACGAUCUGUAGCUGGUCUGAGAGGAUGAUCAGCCACACUGGGACUGAGACACGGCCCAGACUCCUACGGGAGGCAGCAGUGGGGAAUUUUCCGCAAUGGGCGCAAGCCUGACGGAGCAAGACCGCGUGCGGGAUGACGGCCUAAUGGUUGUAAACCGCUUUUCUCUGGGAAGAUGAUGACGGUACCAGAGGAAUCAGCCUCGGCUAACUCCGUGCCAGCAGCCGCGGUAAUACGGAGGAGGCAAGCGUUAUCCGGAAUUAUUGGGCGUAAAGCGUCCGUAGGUGGUUAUUCAAGUCUGCUAUCAAAGCGUGGGGCUUAACUCCAUAGAGGCAGUGGAAACUGGAUGACUUGAGUGCGGUAGGGGUCGAGGGAAUUCCCAGUGUAGCGGUGAAAUGCGUAGAUAUUGGGAAGAACACCAGUGGCGAAAGCGCUCGACUGGGCCUGCACUGACACUGAGGGACGAAAGCUAGGGGAGCGAAAGGGAUUAGAUACCCCUGUAGUCCUAGCCGUAAACGAUGGAUACUAGGUGUUGCUCGUCAUCGACCCGAGCAGUGCCGUAGCCAACGCGUUAAGUAUCCCGCCUGGGGAGUACGCUCGCAAGAGUGAAACUCAAAGGACUUGACGGGGGCCCGCACAAGCGGUGGAGUAUGUGGUUUAAUUCGAUGCAACGC